CAGCAGCCGCGGGAAUACGAAGGGUGCAAGCGUUACUCGGAAUUACUGGGCGUAAAGCGUGCGUAGGUGGUGGUUUAAGUCCGUUGUGAAAGCCCUGGGCUCAACCUGGGAAUUGCAGUGGAUACUGGGUCACUAGAGUGUGGUAGAGGAUAGUGGAAUUUCCGGUGUAGCAGUGAAAUGCGUAGAGAUCGGAAGGAACAUCUGUGGCGAAGGCGACUAUCUGGGCCAACACUGACACUGAGGCACAAAAGCGUGGGGAGCAAACAGGAUUAGAUACCCCCGUAGUCCCUGUCUCUUAUAA
rnacentral:rRNA from 1 species